UGGAAGUAAAAGUCGUAACAGGUUCCGUAGGUGAACCUGCGGAAGGAUCAUUAAAAAAUGUAGGUACCAUUUGUUGGUACUAAUUAAUCAUCCUACCCUUUGUGAAUUUGUUUGUAACGAAUUUUUUUAAAUGGGUCUUUCCCUAAGUUGGAUUGUAGUAAAAUACAAAAAGACUAGGGGAAUGACUUUUUUAAAAGACUUUUUUUAAAUUAAAACUUUUUGUAUUCAUUUGUCUAAAAUUUAUUUUUAUAAUAUAAAAACAACUUUUGACAAUGGAUCUCUUGGUUCUCGCAACGAUGAAGAACGCAGCAAAAUGCGAUAAGUAGUGUGAAUUGCAGAAUACGUGAAUCAUCGAAUCUUCGAACGCAUAUUGCACUUUUUAGUUUACUAAAAAAGUAUGUCUGUUUGAGUAUCAGUAAAAUAUUCUCACAAACAAUUUGUUUUUGUGGUUAUGAGUGUUUUACAACGAUAAACAAGUUGUUUCACUUUAAAUUCUUUUUAAUUGAAUUUUACCAAUUCAUAAAUUAAAAUUGGAUAAAAUUUUCCUUUAACGAGGAAUAACCUAAACAAUUUUAAAUUUUAUGGUUAAUAAAAUUCAUCAAAGGAAUCUAUACAACAAAUAACUUGAUCUCAAAUCAGAUAAGAGUACCCGCUGAACUUAAGCAUAUCAAUAAGCGGAGGAAAAGAAACUAACAAGGAUUCCCUUAGUAACGGCGAGUGAAGCGGAAGAGCUCAAAUUUGAAAUCUUCAAGGUUUGACCUUGACGAAUUGUAGUUUAUAGAAGUGUUUUCUGUUGGAGUUUUGGUAAAAGUUCUUUGGAAUAGGACAUCAUAGAGGGUGAGAAUCCCGUAUUUGACCAUGACUUUCCAGCUGUGUGAUACACUUUCAAGAGUCGGAUUGUUUGGGAAUGCAGUCCAAAAUGGGUGUAAAUUCAUCUAAAGCUAAAUAUUGGCGAGAGACGAUAGCGAACAAGUACCGUGAGGGAAAGAUGAAAAGAACUUUGAAAAGAGAGUUAAACAGUACGUGAAAUUGUCAAAAGGGAAGCGUUUGACACCAGUGUUGUUUUCUCGAAAUCAAUUUAAUGAGUUCUUGUUUUAAGUUAUUGUGACUUUAUCAGCGCAUUUCUUAUUUUACUUGACUCAUUGAAUGCACUUUUCGUUUAACAAGUCAACAUCAAUUUCUUGUGGUAAAAAGUUUAAAGGAAGGUGGCUUGGACUUCGGUUCAAGUGUUUAUAGCCUUUUUUCUAUGCCAUCGGAGAGAUUGAGGUCUGCAGCGUAGAUCCUUCGGGGUUAGAUACCUUUGUGCUAAGUUAUAGUUUUUUAUAGACAACUUGUUGACUAUAAUUAACCCUGUAAUUUACUCGCUUAGGCUAUUUUACCUACGCUUAGGAUGUUG
rnacentral:misc_RNA from 1 species